GCAUGACCUCUGCUAAAAAAAAGUAGGAUGAAUCCUAAGGAAGUUAAUAGCUGAAGGCUGCAGCUACUAGAUUCCAGAGAGUGGCCUGGGGCACAAGAUACUCAUCCAGAGCAGACAGUGUCAGCCUCUGUCAUGGAAAG
rnacentral:lncRNA from 1 species